rnacentral:rRNA from 1 species
UAUGGUUGUGUGCCAGCCGCCGCGGUAAUACGUAUGGUGCAAGCGUUAUCCGGAUUUACUGGGUGUAAAGGGAGCGCAGGCGGUGCGGCAAGUCUGAUGUGAAAGCCCGGGGCUCAACCCCGGUACUGCAUUGGAAACUGUCGUACUAGAGUGUCGGAGGGGUAAGCGGAAUUCCUAGUGUAGCGGUGAAAUGCGUAGAUAUUAGGAGGAACACCAGUGGCGAAGGCGGCUUACUGGACGAUAACUGACGCUGAGGCUCGAAAGCGUGGGGAGCAAACAGG